rnacentral:lncRNA from 1 species
CCCGUCAGGGCCGAGAGCGCCUUCUAUUGGUCGCUGCGCGGCGAUGACGCCGUCGGGACUGAGGCCGCGGUGGGAGGACGGAAGCCCCUCCCUCGGGGUGAAGCGCUGGGGCUGAGUCAGCGCAGGCGGUAGCCAAUCGGAGGGAAGAGGACCAGUUGGCCCCGAUGACGUAGCUCCGGGCUCUUAAAGGGCUAGGGCGGAGGGGAGCCAGCUGGCUCCCUAUUGGUGGAGAAGGAUACAGGCGAUCCCGGGGCUCUGAUUGGUCGAGGGGGCGCCAGAGCAUCCUGGGGAGAGGGGGGACGAUCCGGCUGCAUCACGUGACCGCAGAGCCCGGUUGGGGGACACUCGUGGGCGAGGGAGCAGGCCCAGGCCACGUCGGGGGGGGCGUGACCCACCAUGGGUCGGGGUGGCCUGGGCCUGGCCACCUAGUGCCCCCCCGCCAUGGCCUGGCCACGGCCACGGCCACGCACUGGGCAAGGCCAGGCUCCCCCAGUCCAGCAGCCUGGGGACCGUCCCUGCUACAUCGAGGGGAUGUGACCUGCCACAGUGCGGAGUAACCCUGGCCCAGGCCACCAGGUGCCCCCACCAUGGCCACAGCCACAGCUAUGCACUGGUCAAGGACAGGCCCCCUCCACCCGCCAGCCCAGCAGCCUGGGGACUGUCCCUGCCAUGCUGGGGGGGACACACAUAUGAGCCCAGCCCGUGCACACACGUGUGUGACCCUCUCUGCUCUCAGUGCCCCCCUUUUCCCUGCUACCAUGGACCCCCAGCCCAGCCCUUGUUGAGCGCCGUCCCUCUUGUUCCCCCCACGCUGGCGGCAGCUGGAGGCAGCCGGGCCCCAGGCGGGCCCAGGCCUGGCCCUGCGGUGCCAGCAGCUGCCUGCGCCCAUGGCCUCAAUGGGGACAUUGUGGCAGGCUCUCGGCGUGGGCACAAAGCCCGGCUUGUCAUGCCUGUGCCGGAGCUUGGUGCCCACCAUCCCCCCCCCACACUCCCUCCCGCUGGGCCCUGGCUCAGCCCCCUCUAGCCCCAGAGCAGCUGGAGACCUGGAAUUGCCAUGGGAUUAGCCACAAUUAGGGCUCGGGCUGNNNNNNNNNNNNNNNNNNNNNNNNNNNNNNNNNNNNNNN